AGUGAACGCUGGCGGUAGGCCUAACACAUGCAAGUCGAACGGCAGCACAGUAAGAGCUUGCUCUUACGGGUGGCGAGUGGCGGACGGGUGAGGAAUACAUCGGAAUCUACUUUUUCGUGGGGGAUAACGUAGGGAAACUUACGCUAAUACCGCAUACGACCUACGGGUGAAAGCAGGGGAUCUUCGGACCUUGCGCGAUUGAAUGAGCCGAUGUCGGAUUAGCUAGUUGGCGGGGUAAAGGCCCACCAAGGCGACGAUCCGUAGCUGGUCUGAGAGGAUGGUCAGCCACACUGGAACUGAGACACGGUCCAGACUCCUACGGGAGGCAGCAGUGGGGAAUAUUGGACAAUGGGCGCAAGCCUGAUCCAGCCAUACCGCGUGGGUGAAGAAGGCCUUCGGGUUGUAAAGCCCUUUUGUGGGGAAAGAAAAGCAGCAGGUUAAUACCCCGCUGUUCUGACGGUACCCAAAGAAUAAGCACCGGCUAACUUCGUG
rnacentral:rRNA from 1 species